rnacentral:rRNA from 1 species
CAGUAGCCGCGGUAAUGCGAAGGGUGCAAGCGUUAAUCGGAAUUACUGGGCGUAAAGCGUGCGUAGGCGGUGAGUUAAGUCUGCUGUGAAAUCCCCGGGCUCAACCUGGGAAUGGCAGUGGAUACUGGCUCGCUAGAGUGUGUCAGAGGAUGGUGGAAUUCCCGGUGUAGCGGUGAAAUGCGUAGAGAUCGGGAGGAACAUCAGUGGCGAAGGCGGCCAUCUGGGACAACACUGACGCUGAGGCACGAAAGCGUGGGGAGCAAACAGGAUUAGAUACCCCGGUAGUCCCUGUCUCUUAUAC